CAGUAGCCGCGGUAAUACGGAGGGUGCAAGCGUUAAUCGGAAUUACUGGGCGUAAAGCGCACGCAGGCGGUCUGACAAGUCAGAUGUGAAAUCCCCGGGCUUAACCUGGGAACUGCAUUUGAAACUGUCAGGCUGGAGUCUUGUAGAGGGGGGUAGAAUUCCAGGUGUAGCGGUGAAAUGCGUAGAGAUCUGGAGGAAUACCGGUGGCGAAGGCGGCCCCCUGGACAAAGACUGACGCUCAGGUGCGAAAGCGUGGGAAGCAAACAGGAUUAGAUACCCCUGUAGUCCCUGUCUCUUAUAC
rnacentral:rRNA from 1 species